rnacentral:pre_miRNA from 1 species
AAUCCUAUUAUCUGGGUGCUAGUGCUAUCUCAAUGCAAUGCACCCAGGCAAAGAUUCU